CUACGGGAGGCUGCAGUGGGGAAUCUUAGACAAUGGGCGCAAGCCUGAUCUAGCCAUGCCGCGUGAGCGAUGAAGGCCUUAGGGUUGUAAAGCUCUUUCAGCGAGGAAGAUAAUGACUGUACUCGCAGAAGAAGCCCCGGCUAACUCCGUGCCAGCAGCCGCGGUAAUACGGAGGGGGCUAGCGUUGUUCGGAAUUACUGGGCGUAAAGCGCACGUAGGCGGAUCAGAAAGUCAGAGGUGAAAUCCCAGGGCUCAACCUUGGAACUGCCUUUGAAACUCCUGAUCUUGAGUUCGAGAGAGGUGAGUGGAAUUCCGAGUGUAGAGGUGAAAUUCGUAGAUAUUCGGAGGAACACCAGUGGCGAAGGCGGCUCACUGGCUCGAUACUGACGCUGAGGUGCGAAAGCGUGGGGAGCAAACAGGAUUAGAUACCCGCGUAGUC
rnacentral:rRNA from 1 species